UACGUAGGGUGCGAGCGUUGUCCGGAAUUAUUGGGCGUAAAGGGCUCGUAGGCGGUUUGUCGCGUCGGGAGUGAAAUCCACUGGCUUAACUGGUGGCUUGCCUUCGAUACGGGCAGACUGGAGGUAUGCAGGGGAGAACGGAAUUCCUGGUGUAGCGGUGAAAUGCGCAGAUAUCAGGAGGAACACCGGUGGCGAAGGCGGUUCUCUGGGCAUGUCCUGACGCUGAGGAGCGAAAGCUAGGGGAGCAAACGGG
rnacentral:rRNA from 1 species